CACCGCGGUUAUACGAGAGACCCAAGUUGAUAGUUUUCGGCGUAAAGAGUGGUUAGGGAGUCUUUUAACUAAAGCCGAACACCCCCUAGGCUGUUAUACGCACCUGGGAGUAUGAAGCCCCACCCUACGAAAGUGGCUUUACCCCCCCCCCCGAACCCACGAUAGCUAUGACA
rnacentral:rRNA from 1 species